rnacentral:rRNA from 1 species
CCUACGGGUGGCAGCAGUGAGGAAUAUUGGUCAAUGGACGAGAGUCUGAACCAGCCAAGUAGCGUGAAGGAUGACUGCCCUAUGGGUUGUAAACUUCUUUUAUAUGGGAAUAAAAUGUUACACGUGUGGGAUUUUGUAUGUACCAUAUGAAUAAGGAUCGGCUAACUCCGUGCCAGCAGCCGCGGUAAUACGGAGGAUCCGAGCGUUAUCCGGAUUUAUUGGGUUUAAAGGGAGCGUAGGUGGAUUGUUAAGUCAGUUGUGAAAGUUUGCGGCUCAACCGUAAGAUUGCAGUUGAAACUGGCAGUCUUGAGUACAGUAGAGGUGGGCGGAAUUCGUGGGGUAGCGGUGAAAUGCUUAGAUAUCACGAAGAACUCCGAUUGCGAAGGCAGUUCACUGGACUGCAACUGACACUGAGGCUCGAAAGUGUGGGUAUCAAACAGGAUUAGAUACCCGUGUAGUC